rnacentral:rRNA from 1 species
CGUGGGGAACCUGCCCCAUAGUCUGGGAUACCACUUGGAAACAGGUGCUAAUACCGGAUAAGAAAGCAGAUCGCAUGAUCAGCUUUUAAAAGGCGGCGUAAGCUGUCGCUAUGGGAUGGCCCCGCGGUGCAUUAGCUAGUUGGUAAGGUAAAGGCUUACCAAGGCGAUGAUGCAUAGCCGAGUUGAGAGACUGAUCGGCCACAUUGGGACUGAGACACGGCCCAA